CAGCAGCAGCCGCGGUAAUACGUAGGUCCCGAGCGUUGUCCGGAUUUAUUGGGCGUAAAGCGAGCGCAGGCGGUUAGAUAAGUCUGAAGUUAAAGGCUGUGGCUUAACCAUAGUACGCUUUGGAAACUGUUUAACUUGAGUGCAAGAGGGGAGAGUGGAAUUCCAUGUGUAGCGGUGAAAUGCGUAGAUAUAUGGAGGAACACCGGUGGCGAAAGCGGCUCUCUGGCUUGUAACUGACGCUGAGGCUCGAAAGCGUGGGGAGCAAACAGGAUUAGAUACCCGCGUAGUCCCUGUCUCUUAUACA
rnacentral:rRNA from 1 species